CAUCGGAUUCCUGGUUCCCAACGCUGAGGCUGUCGCUGCCAAUCAGCCCCCAGAAUCACAGAAUCACACAGUGCAGAAGAGGCCCUUCGGACCAUCAAGUCUGCAGCAACAAGAUAAGAUCACACACAAUCGCCGGGACAGGCCCCAGGUCGGGG